rnacentral:snRNA from 1 species
GGAUAUGAGGGCAAUCUGGCUGAGACAUCUCUCACCCCACUGAUCACCAGGGUUGAUUCUGCUGAUGUGGUUGGCUAGGCUAGGCAGGUGUCCCCUUCCUCCCUCACCGCUCCAUGUACGUCCCUCCCAAAACUGUGCGCUCUUUCGAAGAGGAUGGCCUUCCCGGAAUAGAGACAGACUGGUCUUAGGUUGUGGGUAUAUGAGUAGCUGACCUCCCCUGCUAGAACCUCCAAACAAGCUCUCAAGAAAAAGAUACUUUCUGUGCCUCUGCAUUGCAUGACCUCAUUCUUUAAAUGGAAUUUAGCCACAAGAUUACUGAACUGU